UCUUGUCGUCUCCAACAAGGACAUCGUUAUUUUUCAGAGGUCCCACUGCCGGCUCUGAUUUUGGUCCCACUCUGACAUGUAUAUUCACGCUCUAAAAUAUGACUAUCUUGUUCCAACAAAUUUGCAUACUCUUUUUUCAGUGUUCAACAGGGGUGCCAAGUCUCGACUCCUUACAGGAAGAAUUACGUGCGGUGUUUUCAGCGCUUCAACACCACAGUAGGGCUGGAGCCAUCACAGAAUGCGUCGUAUUGACGCUUCCCCCGCUCAUGAAAUACGGGUACAGGCAUCCUGUCAAGAGAGUGUGGAAAGAAUUUAACUUUCACAUUCUCGGUUUACAAGGAGUGGCUGGUCCGGGCAGCAGUGUCAUCCGGGUGAUAAACACAGGGGCGCUGUUCAUCGACGUCAAGCGUCGGUCAUACCGGUUUGACCUCUUCCAUCGCCACUACCUUGAUGGUCGAGCCGAUCUUGUCCACUGGAACGACGUGGGGAUGAAAAAAGUAUUGAGUGAAAUAUUUAAGUCUGUCGACCUCGUCCGACCACUUGCCCAGGGCGUGUAGGCCGCAUCGUAAAUGAUCAACAAUGGUAGCAGUUUGCUGUAGUAGGUGCUGAUAUUGAUGUAAUGAGAACUAGAUGCCUUAUCUAUCGGUACUGUGUUAACGGACGGUUUUGUGUGUAUAUUUUUUCAGUGCAUUCAAUAAAUGGAAUUUAUUUUAA